GACGAACGCUGGCGGCGUGCUUAACACAUGCAAGUCGAACGAAGUGGCGAACGGGUGAGUAACGCGUAAUCAACCUGCCCUUCAGAGGGGGACAACAGUUGGAAACGACUGCUACUACCGCAUACGGAAGGAGGGGUUUGCGUCUGAUUAGCUAGUUGGAGGGGUAACGGCCCCCCAAGGCGAUGAUCAGUAGCCGGUCUGAGAGGAUGAACGGCCACAAUGGGAAUGAGACAAGGCCCAGAAUCCUACGGGAGGCAGCAGUGGGGAAUCGUCCGCAAGGGACGAAAGUCUGAAGGAGCAAAGCCGCGUGAGUGAUGACGGCCUUCGGGUUGUAAAGCUCUGUUAAUCGGGACGCGGUACCGGAAUAGAAAGCCACGGCUAACUACGUGCCAGCAGCCGCGGUAAUAC
rnacentral:rRNA from 1 species